GGAAGGUGAGGAAAAGGGAAGGUCGACGAACUGAAGGUUGAGGAAACCGCAAAGAGCGUGUUGGAGGUAUAGCAGCGAAUAGUGUUGAAUUUUUGGGUUCAAGGGAAUCAUAGAUUCACGAAAACAAGGAAAUGCUCGUAUCAAGUGUAGGGCCAUUUUUGAAACGCAAAAUAACAGCUAAUUUGAACACGUGCAAAAUCCAUCACAAUGGCCUUUGAUGAACCGAUUUUGUACAGAAGCGUAAUUAUCGCAAAUUACAAACAUAUGCUUAUCAAAUAUCAGGAAAAUCUUUGGACCGGCGGCAAUUUUAGCAACUCACUACCUUACUAACUUUGAAAGUACUCAACCACUUUAAAUAAUCCUGUCAGGAGAGCUGGUGCCGAGGUGUCGGGGUCAGGUCAUCAAUUUUAGUUAAGACAACGUCUGAAAAAUAAAAUGGGGGUGUGAGUAAUCCAGUCCAUCAGAGUGAGACGUCCACAAUCGCCAUUUGUGAACCAAUAAAUAAUCGGUUGAGCUCUGUCCAAGGGGUUCAAAAGGUUAACAGUCGCAGUCCUGGUCAAUAGGACUCCAGGAGCAUAGGGGAAAACCAGGCAAAGGGUUACCCCUUUGCUCAUAGAUACCAUCCAGCCCGCUUGUCUCUGGAUCAGCAGCAAUCGAGAGACCACCUCGCGGUUCUGACGUGCAAUAGGCAACGCUGCCUUGUCAUCCACCACUUGUCUUAGGUUGUGCAAUGAGUACCCCGGUAAUAUCCGUCCAGCGUCUACUUCGAGACCCGCAGGUCAUUCAACACCAAGCGUGCAAUGGAUAUUAUGUUCAUGGUACUCGCCUAUGACCAACAUAAAAAGGGGGCGGUUCCGGGCAGUGCAAUGAUCACCUUUUUGGCCAACCUGCUCAGCCGCUAAUCAAACAUAGCCCUAAGCGUGCAAUGGAGGCCCUCUUCAUAGUGCAGGUGGUGAACAAGUCCCUAUAAACCUCAUGGCCGCAGCCGUAUCUCAGGGGCGGUUCCGGGCAGUGCAAUGAACACCUUUUUGGCUAACCUGCUCAACUGCUAAUCACACAUAGCCCUGAGCGUGCAAUGGAAGCCCUCUUCAUAGUGCAGGUGGCGAACAAGUCCCUUAACCUCAUAGCCGAAGCCGUCUCACGGACCAACGAGCAAGUGCAAUGAUCACCUUCCAGCGCUCUCCCCACGACCUAUUCUGCAACCUAGACCUGGGGGUGCAAUGAACGCGGCUGCCUAGUGAUCCCCCGCGUCCACAAAUAAACAUAAACCAGACCUGGAGGCCUCGCGACGCCGCGACCCUCCAGCGUCCCCUGUUGGGUUAAUCUCGGCGUGCAAUGGGCAUUUUCGAGCGCCGCCCCGCCUCAAGCUUAACCGUGGAUUAAUUAAGGAUAGACAGACUAACAAAGUUUAGCUCGACAUGUCGGGGCUCAACUCAAUCUUAUUCAUAGUUCGUCAACUCUCAAUUCAAUAUCAUUCUCAUCAAAUAUCACCAACUUUAGUAUCAACCAAUUAAAUAAACUAUCAACUGAUGAAUAGCGCAUUAAUUCAACUUCAGUUUGAUAUUGUACUCAAUACUCACGCAGGUUUCUGAUGAACGUUAUCAACAAUUAUAAAUAUCAACACCGCAGCAAUUAAAAUAAUGAUUGAACGACUCACCCUACCGUUGAUAUGGUAAUUAUCAUAAAUCUCUACACCUUAUUGGAUUGAAAAACCUCACACACCAACAAACUGGGAUUACUCAGUGAUAACUCACCUUGAUUCACUUAAGCAAUUACUUUAAGUCACUCUAACUUGGAACUGACUCUAGCUCACACUACCUCUCUAAAGUGUGGGUGAAAACUAAAAACUCAUAUGCAAAAUUGCAUAUUCGAAGGCGUCUUUCUCACGGUCGACUUGGGGUGGUCUGCUUGUCACCCUGACUAGCUAAUAAAUUAGGCUCAAGUGUUUAUGUUUCUCGAAAUAAAAGUCUCGGGGUCUU